rnacentral:rRNA from 2 species
GGGUUGUGAGGUUAAGCGACUAAGCGUACACGGUGGAUGCCCUGGCAGUCAGAGGCGAUGAAGGGCGUGCUAAUCUGCGAUAAGCGCCGGUAAGGUGAUAUGAACCGUUAUAACCGGCGAUACCCGAAUGGGGAAACCCAGUGUGACUCGUCACACUAUCAUUAACUGAAUCCAUAGGUUAAUGAGGCGAACCGGGGGAACUGAAACAUCUAAGUACCCCGAGGAAAAGAAAUCAACCGAGAUUCCCCCAGUAGCGGCGAGCGAACGGGGAGGAGCCCAGAGCCUGAAUCAGCAUGUGUGUUAGUGGAAGCGUCUGGAAAGGCGCGCGAUACAGGGUGACAGCCCCGUACACAAAAGCGCAUGUGCUGUGAGCUCGAUGAGUAGGGCGGGACACGUGGUAUCCUGUCUGAAUAUGGGGGGACCAUCCUCCAAGGCUAAAUACUCCUGACUGACCGAUAGUGAACCAGUACCGUGAGGGAAAGGCGAAAAGAACCCCGGCGAGGGGAGUGAAAAAGAACCUGAAACCGUGUACGUACAAGCAGUGGGAGCCCCACCACCAAAGCAUUUGCUGUACCGCGUUG